AACGAACGCUGGCGGCAUGCCUAACACAUGCAAGUCGAACGAGACCUUCGGGUCUAGUGGCGCACGGGUGCGUAACGCGUGGGAACCUGCCCUUAGGUUCGGAAUAACUCCCCGAAAGGGGUGCUAAUACCGGAUAAUGUCUUCGGACCAAAGAUUUAUCGCCUUUGGAUGGGCCCGCGUUGGAUUAGCUAGUUGGUAGGGUAAAAGCCUACCAAGGCGUCGAUCCAUAGCUGGUCUGAGAGGAUGAUCAGCCACACUGGGACUGAUACACGGCCCAGACUCCUACGGGAGGCAGCAGUGGGGAAUAUUGGACAAUGGGCGAAAGCCUGAUCCAGCAAUGCCGCGUGAGUGAUGAAGGCCUUAGGGUUGUAAAGCUCUUUUACCCGGGAUGAUAAUGACAGUACCGGGAGAAUAAGCUCCGGCUAACUCCGUG
rnacentral:rRNA from 1 species